rnacentral:rRNA from 1 species
CCAAUAGCGUAUAUUAAAGUUGUUGCAGUUAAAAAGCUCGUAGUUGAAUUUCGGGAUUGACGUAAUGGUCGUGCCUUAAGGGGUAUGAACUGUUACUGUUGAUUUCUCACCUUCUGGAGAAUCUUGAUGUCCUUAAUUGGGUGUCUUGUGGAUCCAGGACCUUUACCUUGAAAAAAUUAGAGUGUUUAAAGCAGGCAUUUUGCUCGAAUACAUUAGCAUG